rnacentral:rRNA from 1 species
CAGUAGCCGCGGGAAUACGGAGGGAGCUAGCGUUGUUCGGAAUUACUGGGCGUAAAGCGCACGUAGGCGGCUUUGUAAGUUAGAGGUGAAAGCCUGGAGCUCAACUCCAGAAUUGCCUUUAAGACUGCAUCGCUUGAAUCCGAGAGAGGUGAGUGGAAUUCCGAGUGUAGAGGUGAAAUUCGUAGGUAUUCGGAAGAACACCAGUGGCGAAGGCGGCUCACUGGCUCGGUAUUGACGCUGAGGUGCGAAAGCGUGGGGAGCAAACAGGAUUAGAUACCCCAGUAGUCCCUGUCUCUUAUAU